rnacentral:tRNA from 1 species
GCCUUCGUAGUGUAGUGGUCAGCACGCUGGGCGCAUAUUCCAGAGGUCCGGGUUCGAUUCCCGGAGAAGGCC